rnacentral:lncRNA from 1 species
GAAAGAACAGCCCAUUUGUUGAACCCUGUUGAUAGCAAGUGGAUAUUUCUCUAAUUAGAAACCUGUUACUCUGAAGGACUUCAUGCAGCUCACUGAAGGUGAAAUGGAAAGUUACUUAUGCAAAGUGGAUUUUGUAAACAAAAAACAAGAGAGCCACCCACGCCUCAGGACCGGAGUGUGAGUGUUGAGGGAGGGUGAGGAGUACUCUAGUAAUACUCUGUAGUCAGUGCCUACGUGCUGCACUGGAAGAUACUUACGUGGGGAGGGACCUUCAUGAUGUGGGGAUACUUCUGUCCUGGAGAUACAUGUCCCCUCUCCUCUAUGGCUGCAAGUCUUCCACUGUCUUACGUAUGGCAUGGUUCAAAGUCAACUUUAGAUACAAUGAUA